CCGGCGCACGGGUGAGUAACGCGUAUGCAACCUGCCCGUUUCAGCGGGAUAACCCGGAGAAAUCCGGCCUAAUACCGCAUGUGGCUGAGGGGAGGCAUCUUCUUUCGGCCAAAGGAGGCGACUCCGGAGACGGAUGGGCAUGCGUGACAUUAGCUAGUUGGCGGGGUAACGGCCCACCAAGGCGACGAUGUCUAGGGGUUCUGAGAGGAAGGUCCCCCACACUGGUACUGAGACACGGACCAGACUCCUACGGGAGGCAGCAG
rnacentral:rRNA from 1 species